UUGGGGUUGGCCCAUAGAACAUGCUUAGGCCCAAAUUCGAUGUGAGAAAUCGGUAGUUGGCAGGUAGCAGGAGGAUACAGGGCUUGAUAUUUGUGGUAUCCUGCCCAACAUGAAACUGACGCUGCAGCCUGCUCCAACUGUGCAGAUCGGCCAUGUACUUGUGAAUUUGGGAAAGGGAAUCUGUGCAAGGUCAGUAUAGUAUAAUAAUUUCCUUAUUUUGGCCCUUAGAAUUUGGAAUUUACGGCGGUGAAGUUUCUAGAGAAUUUGUUGUUUUUGUUUCGUUUUGAUUUUGUAAUUUUUGGAAUGGAAUUUGAAUUCCAACGUUAGGGCAUGUUUGAUACUGGCGGAAGUUCAAUCUCAAAUUCUUCCACUUUUUCAUUGUUUUUGUAUUUCAUGUUUCAAUUGGUGGAACCAUGGAGGAGGAGGAUGCAGUGGAAGAAAGAUGUUGGGAUCAACGCGAGGCUUUUCUUGGAAAACCUCGGCGCGCUUUGUGUGGUCGCUUAUGGUGAAUACAUUCAUAAGCGCCGAGAUGGUAGACAUUUGUGUGAGUAUUCUUCUUAGUCGGCGUCUAGAGCCAGAGCUUUCGAUUCCUCAAACCUUCUUUGAAAGAGGACCGGCGAUGGAUUUCUGCUAUUACGCUCGAGACGGAAGUAAUAUAAGUCGGAACUGAAAACCCUAACCACAGCCAGACUAAGAUUCUCAGGAGAAAACUUAGAAUAUCCACACCUGGAGAUAAUGGUGUAGAUUCAAUUUUAUCUUUUCCUUCUUGUGAUCUCCCUGAAGAGCUCCUUCAAAACCUAGAAGCUGGAGGAUAUGAAAUGCCAUCGCUCGUUUCAAAGCAAGCAAUUCCGUCAGCAAUGGUUGGGCAGACAUCCGUUGGAGAGAGGAGAGAGGAUAGAAGAACAUUUCCUUUUUGGUGCCUGCAAUUUCUCACUGUACUAAUUUCACCACAGAGGUCACAGGCAAUGAUUCUCACCCAAACAUCAAGCAAAGUUGCUCAAUGAAGGCCUGCAUUUUAAGAUUGCUUGAGUUGUUGAUGGCGAUCUAUCAUGCCAUGGCAGAGCAGGAAUACCAAAUCCGGCAUGGCGUGAUGCCAUUUGCUGGGACACCUGGAGACUGAGUUGGUUGGUGUAUUCAUUUUUGUCAUUGGUAAGGUGGAUUGCAUGAUUCAAAGAGGAUUUUAUUAUCUGGUGAUGCAAGUAUUUAGGACGUUAUGCCAGCCACAAGCAUCGAUGUACUCAGCCAUUGUUUCGAAGAAGAUGUAAAGAUUGCAGGAUCAAUAGUGAAAAUGUUUCAGUGUAAAAUACUCUCUUAUAUCGGCUGGGAAACCAAAUAAACCUUGAGAGCCUGUCUAACAGUUGGCAAUAUGGGUGGAUCCAACUAGAAGUUGCAAAGCUUUAUGACAUAUCCAAUAGCAAGCAACAUUAUGAGCCUCUGGCCCUGGUGUAUGUGGGUUCACGAAUUGGAUCUGAUUUUCUUUCAGAAGCAAUAAAAGGAAGGUCAUUGUAUUUGCUAGCAUCCAAAUUCACACUAUUUGACAUCACAAAAAUGUGAUCCAGUUUAAGCCAGGCCGCACAAGAUAAAUAUCUUGUGUCAUACUAUUGUCUGAGGGGCUUGUUGAAUGCACUUCUGAAGUGUAUGCUUGCUCUCUUGAAGAAACAAGGAAUUUGUCAUUUCUAUCGAGAUCAUUGCCAUCGAAGUUUUGUGGUGAUCAUGCCUGUGUCAGUUUUGUAAAGAGCCGUUUUCUAACUUUUGGGAGAAUAUUUAUAAUCUUUUGCACAGGUGAAGAAAACUAUUGAGGUUAUGAAGAGAAGUAUGUGAUUUGGGGCGUGGAUAGAGGAUAUCAAUCUGCUGUAUGUACACACAUAUAGGCAAAAAGAGCUCUCUCAAAUGGUUAGAUUAUGUUACUACUCUCCUUUUCUAUUCCCCUUUAUGGAUUGUAGGUUGUAUUCUUUUGUAGUGGAAAAAAUUGUUAAUAAUAACAAGUAUUUGAUGUGUUGUA